CCUACGGGGGGCUGCAGUGGGGAAUAUUGGACAAUGGGCGCAAGCCUGAUCCAGCCAUGCCGCGUGUGUGAAGAAGGCCUUAUGGUUGUAAAGCACUUUAAGCGAGGAGGAGGCUACUGAAGUUAAUACCUUCAGAUAGUGGACGUUACUCGCAGAAUAAGCACCGGCUAACUCUGUGCCAGCAGCCGCGGUAAUACAGAGGGUGCAAGCGUUAAUCGGAUUUACUGGGCGUAAAGCGCGCGUAGGCGGCUAAUUAAGUCAAAUGUGAAAUCCCCGAGCUUAACUUGGGAAUUGCAUUCGAUACUGGUUAGCUAGAGUGUGGGAGAGGAUGGUAGAAUUCCAGGUGUAGCGGUGAAAUGCGUAGAGAUCUGGAGGAAUACCGAUGGCGAAGGCAGCCAUCUGGCCUAACACUGACGCUGAGGUGCGAAAGCAUGGGGAGCAAACAGGAUUAGAUACCCGUGUAGUC
rnacentral:rRNA from 1 species